AUGUCCUCGUUGGGGAAUUUCUCCCGCAGGCUCUGCGAUUCCUGCUUCGACGGGGAAACGCAAACAAAAAUCAAGUUAUGGCUCAGAUGGUUGCUCCGUUAUGCCUUCCCUGCACUCAUCGUCUCAGCAGGUAGUCUGCUCCUCAUAUUACACUUCAUCAUCACCCCGCAGGUUAAGGCCUACGUUGAGGACGCCCGUCUCGACAGCUUCGCCUUCGCCGGCACGCGGGCGUCCUUCUCCGCGUACAACUUCUCCACCUCGGUCGCCCUCACAGUGCGUAACCUCAACGGGGCCAUGGCCAUCACGUACACCAGGCCCCUCGUGGCCACCUUCCUCUUCCACGACCGGCGUCUGUACAACGUCACCGUGGCCGACAAAGGGCACAGGCACAGGCCGCUCAAGAGGGAGGCGCACCUCCUCCACACCGGCGGCGAGGGCCCGUAUGUGCUCGACGCCGCAGCAGUCGAGGAGUUCAACAAGCAGAAUGCCACGGGGGUGUUCGAGGUGGAGGUGCGCCUCUCCGGGGUUAUCACCCUUGGCCUCGGCAACAAACGUGGCCUGGAGCUCAGCUGCCCGCUAACGCUCCGACGCCCGCCGCCGGGCCCUGACCCUGAUGUCGUCGUCUUCCAUGAGGUCGACUGCGAACCUGAUAAGCCCAAGAAAAUCAUCUUUUGA
rnacentral:rRNA from 1 species